AUUACAGUAGAUAUUCGGUAACAAUCUAGGUAGUUGGUAUUGUAGUUUAUUUUUAGCUUAUUAUUAUAAAUAUCAACGCCGUUAUUAAUAGUGGAAAUUGGACCAAUUUCCUUUUUUAAUUACGGCCAAUUUAAUUGGUAAACAAUCCACGUUGACCAAGGGUAAGGAAAUUCAAAAUUCAUCGGCGUUUCUGUUCGUUGUUUGAUUAACCAGAGGGAACAUUGACAUUGAGGCAAUAUACACUACUGCGCCUACUUUUUUCGCUGAGCUGUGUUAGUCUUUUUGUUAUUAUUAUUUUUUUUCGAAAUUUUGAAAGACACAUAUCUGGAAUCUGAAUUCUGAUCAUCACAAUAUUUCAUCACAUAUCUGAAGUAUUUUUGUUUGGCAACGUCUUAUGGAUCGCAUGUUCGGAUUGUUCGCAUCAUUUGUCAUUUCGUCUGUGGCGUGGUCUGAUCUGUUCGUUCGUUCGUUCGUUCGUUCGUAUUGUUUCUCAAUUGGGAAGAGUGAGUGUGAGUGUCUGAGUGAUCCACGCUGCGUUGAACAAUAGAAGGCAAUUAAUCAUUUUCAAAAUAACAAUUAUUUCAAGGUUCUAUGUAGUAGGAAAGUUUGUAUCUGGUUCAAACAUGGACACGUUAAAUUCCAAAAGUUGUUAUGAAACUAGGUAAGUUAAACCAGCCUUCACAUUCAAAUUGUCCUCAAUGCUUAUUGAAAUUUUGUGUUGGUCAUAUCAUGUGGAGGAAGAGCUUGUGGGCUGGGCAGCCUGGGCUACAGGUGUAAAAAGAAAUCAGAAUAAUGGUAUUGAAAAAAUUUGCAAUCAGCACCAUGAUUCAAGAAAAUUGAUCGAAACAUCAUCCAAACUGAUCGAAGUUUUAACUUGACAGUGUUAGGGAAUAAGUUCAUCUUUAUUGAAAGUCAAAUCAAGCUUUCGUAAAGUGCAGCUCAUGGCAAGGGUGUGUUGACUCCACUCCUCCACACAAUUCUGUAAAACCAGAAAAGGAAGAUGUCAUUCUCAUGCAGUGGAAAUAGUUGAAGAAAAGUUGUCACAAGAUCAAAUGGACACAGAACUUGACACUUAUAACUUCAAGCUACACUUGCACUUAGUUUCAAGUUUGAAAAGGGUUUGAAUGCAGAAAACUCAAAACAUUUGAAAAAGAGCUGAAUCACGGAAAUUCAAUGGGUCAAUACUUGGAGUUCUCAUUCCAUGGUGCCUACCGCAACUUAUAGAUCUCGCUCUACGAACUACGAUGCAACGAUGGUGGAAGAAAAUGUCGACGAUGUAGUUUGGCGUUGAUAAAAGUUGCCUUCAUCCCCUGGCUGGUGAAGAAGAAGAGAUCCAGGUCUUUUAUUUAAUGGCAUCGCUUUUACGUGACACGAGUCUUCACAAACUGCUGAAUUCGAAGAAGGCAAACUACGCAAGCGGACAUCAGGCAAGGGGCAAUUUUGAAAACACAUCUGGACUCAAAAGCCUGCUGAAAAAUGAAACUUUGUUCUGGGCCUACGUCAGAAGAGUCUUUGCAGAUCGACCAACUAGAACUCCCCCCCCCCCCCCCCAAAAAAAAAAAAAAAAAAAACUGGCCGACUUUGAUUAGUCUCUAUACGCUCACGUGUCCGCUGAAGAAGUCGAAAGUUUUAUCUGUGAUCACGUUCGGCAGAUGACUUGGAAUCGGGGAAUUCUCUGGUGGUCCUUGAGCGAAAACCGAUAGUUUGGCAGCCAUCGUCUCUUCCGCCCCAAUUACAGGAACUCAUCCUUGCCGAUCUGUUUGAAUUACAUCAGAAAAACAGAUGUUUGGCCCAUGCUCGGUCUGUUCUCAUUUCUUCCACUACACGUCUUCCCUCGUAAUACCGAGCCACUUACCUGUAAUCAUCAGCAAAGUUGCGAAAUUGUUCGCAUUCAUGUUCAGAUUUCCUAAACUGAAAUUAAAAACAAAACAUUAUAGUCAGGCUAAACUGCUGUUGAACAGUUGUCUGUUGUUACCUGUACUUCUCAUCCCAUGUAGAAACACGUCACAGCAGUAUAAGGAGAUGAUCCCUUUGCUUAACUACUGAAGAGUUUGAGAACAUGCAAAAUCUGAAUUUGAUUGCUGUCUCUUGUCUUUCAUGGCUUUUUUGUAGCUGGCUGGUUAAAGGUGUGGUCAAGUCAAGUUGAGCUGCUGCAUGCAGUCUAUAGAGCUGAUGUUAUGAAGUGUGGAAGGGUAACCAAACUGAAAGAUGUUCUUGGAAUGGACCCAUGGCAAGGUGAUAUUUCAACUUUACAAUGGUGCUCAAUAUGCAGUAGUUUUGUACCUAUUUCCAGUUCAAGCUGUUGGAUGCCUUCUGUAGUCCUGGUGUUAUCCUGGAAUGUGUUGAUUGUCAAUGCCUUUGUUUCUUGUACUGUGUUAUGCCUCUGUGAAGUACCUAGAUGAUUGGACCCAGUUGAAGAAGUUAAUGAUGUAGAUCUAGACAAGUGCAUAAUCUGGGCUCUCUUCUUUUCUGUGGCCCCGUUUCCCUAACUAACCACUAACCAACGCCCGCCGGUGGUCACUCACCCGCUGUGAUAACCAGGAGGAUGAGGAGGGCUCUGGUCGAACGGGGACUUGGAAGGCGCAUGAUCUGAUGAAAACUUUUGGAGGGUCAUGUGUCUAACCCUGAAGCCUAGUAUGACUAAUCUCUCCCUAGUAAAACUGGCCUCGCACUCUUCUCUCUUCUUCCAUGUCCAGGUUAUUUCCCUGGGCACAGUCAAUCAAGACAGUGUCUCCCCCUGUCUAGAUAGGCUGGACAUUGCAAGGGUAAAGUCAAGCAAGGGCUGUUGACCAAAUCAUCAGCAUCAAUCGGUAAAAUAAAAAUUUAAAGCAUUUGAAAAAAAUAACCUGGGAAAAUAAUAGUAAAUGUAAUUAACAUAAUUUAUUUUAAUUUAUUUACAAAUAUGUAUAAUUUAUUCAGAAUUUUGUUAAUUUUAUUCUGAAUUAUUUAUGUAUGCUUGUUAUUACCUCAAAUAAAUAUUUAAAAAUUUAAAUUAA
rnacentral:lncRNA from 1 species